CUUGCGGCUGAUUAGCUUGUUGGUAAGGUAAUGGCUUACCAAGGCGACGAUCAGUAUCUGGUUUGAGAGGACGAUCAGAC
rnacentral:rRNA from 1 species